rnacentral:tRNA from 1 species
GCCUUCGUGGUGUAGUGGUUUUGCACGCUGCGCCGAUAUUCCAGAGGCCCGUGGUUCGAUUCCCGGCGAAGGCG